GGUUAAGCGAAUAAGCGUACACGGUGGAUGCCUAGGCAAUCAGAGGCGAUGAAGGACGUGCUAAUCUGCGAAAAGCGUCGGUAAGGUGAUAUGAACCGUUAUACCCGACGAUAUCCGAAUGGGGAAACCCAGUAUCCAAUGGAUACUAUCAUUAACUGAAUCCAUAGGUUAAUGAGGCGAACCGGGAGAACUGAAACAUCUCAGUACCCCGAGGAAAAGAAAUCAACCGAGAUUCCCCUAGUAGCGGCGAGCGAACGGGGAGCAGCCCAGAGUCUUAAUCAAUAGCAGUGUCAGGAGAACGGUCUGGAAAGUCCGGCAGUAAAGGGUGAUAGCCCCGUAUCUGAAGAUGCUGUUGUUGUGAACUCGACGAGUAGGGCGGGACACGUGUUAUCCUGUCUGAAUAUGGGGGGACCAUCCUCCAAGGCUAAAUACUCCUGAUUGACCGAUAGUGAACCAGUACCGUGAGGGAAAGGCGAAAAGAACCCCGGCGAGGGGAGUGAAAAAGAACCUGAAACCGUGUACGUACAAGCAGUAGGAGCCUCUUUAUGGGGUGACUGCGUACCUUUUGUAUAAUGGGUCAGCGACUUAUAUUCUGUAGCAAGGUUAACCGUAUAGGGGAGCCGUAGGGAAACCGAGUCUUAACUGGGCGAAUGAGUUGCAGGGUAUAGACCCGAAACCCGGUGAUCUAUCCAUGGGCAGGUUGAAGGUUGGGUAACACUAACUGGAGGACCGAACCGACUAAUGUUGAAAAAUUAGCGGAUGACUUGUGGAUGGGGGUGAAAGGCCAAUCAAACCGGGAGAUAGCUGGUUCUCCCCGAAAGCUAUUUAGGUAGCGCCUCGUGAACUCAUCUUCGGGGGUAGAGCACUGUUUCGACUAGGGGGUCAUCCCGACUUACCAACUCGAUGCAAACUGCGAAUACCGAAGAAUGUUAUCACGGGAGACACACGGCGGGUGCUAACGUCCGUCGUGAAGAGGGAAACAACCCAGACCGCCAGCUAAGGUCCCAAAGUCAUGGUUAAGUGGGAAACGAAGUGGGAAGGCUCAGACAGCCAGGAUGUUGGCUUAGAAGCAGCCAUCAUUUAAAGAAAGCGUAAUAGCUCACUGGUCGAGUCGGCCCGCGCGGAAGAUGUAACGGGGCUAAACCAUGCACCGAAGCUGCGGCAGCGACACAAAGUGUUGUUGGGUAGGGGAGCGUUCUGUAAGCCUGCGAAGGUGUACUGUGAGGUAUGCUGGAGGUAUCAGAAGUGCGAAUGCUGACAUAAGUAACGAUAAUGCGGGUGAAAAACCCGCACGCCGGAAGACCAAGGGUUCCUGUCCAACGUUAAUCGGGGCAGGGUGAGUCGACCCCUAAGGCGAGGCUGAAAAGCGUAGUCGAUGGGAAACGGGUUAAUAUUCCCGUACUGGUGGUAACUGCGAUGGGGGAACGGAGAAGGCUAGGUUGUCCGGGCGACGGUCGUCCCGGUUCAAGCAGGUAGGCAGAGUGAUUAGGCAAAUCCGGUCACUUAAUGCUGAGAUGUGAUGACGAACCACCAAGGUGGUGAAGCAAUUGAUGCCCCGCUUCCAGGAAAAGCCUCUAAGCUUCAGGUUACCAACAAUCGUACCCCAAACCGACACAGGUGGUCAGGUAGAGAAUACUCAGGCGCUUGAGAGAACUCGGGUGAAGGAACUAGGCAAAAUGGUGCCGUAACUUCGGGAGAAGGCACGCUGGCGGUAGGUAAAGUCCCUCGCGGACGGCGCUGAAGCCAGUCGAAGAUACCAGCUGGCUGCAACUGUUUAUUAAAAACACAGCACUGUGCAAACACGAAAGUGGACGUAUACGGUGUGACGCCUGCCCGGUGCUGGAAGGUUAAUUGAUGGGGUUAGCCGUAAGGCGAAGCUCCUGAUCGAAGCCCCAGUAAACGGCGGCCGUAACUAUAACGGUCCUAAGGUAGCGAAAUUCCUUGUCGGGUAAGUUCCGACCUGCACGAAUGGCGUAAUGAUGGCCAGGCUGUCUCCACCCGAGACUCAGUGAAAUUGAACUCGCUGUGAAGAUGCAGUGUACCCGCGGCAAGACGGAAAGACCCCGUGAACCUUUACUAUAGCUUGACACUGAACAUUGAGCCUUGAUGUGUAGGAUAGGUGGGAGGCUUUGAAGUGUGGACGCCAGUCUGCAUGGAGCCAACCUUGAAAUACCACCCUUUAACGUUUGAUGUUCUAACCUAGGCCCAUAAACUGGGUCGGGGACCGUGUCUGGUGGGUAGUUUGACUGGGGCGGUCUCCUCCUAAAGAGUAACGGAGGAGCACGAAGGUUGGCUAAGCAUGGUCGGACAUCAUGCGGUUAGUGCAAAGGCAUAAGCCAGCUUGACUGCGAGAGUGACGGCUCGAGCAGGUACGAAAGUAGGUCUUAGUGAUCCGGUGGUUCUGAAUGGAAGGGCCAUCGCUCAACGGAUAAAAGGUACUCCGGGGAUAACAGGCUGAUACCGCCCAAGAGUUCAUAUCGACGGCGGUGUUUGGCACCUCGAUGUCGGCUCAUCACAUCCUGGGGCUGAAGUAGGUCCCAAGGGUAUGGCUGUUCGCCAUUUAAAGUGGUACGCGAGCUGGGUUUAGAACGUCGUGAGACAGUUCGGUCCCUAUCUGCCGUGGGCGUUGGAAGAUUGAGAGGGGUUGCUCCUAGUACGAGAGGACCGGAGUGAACGCACCACUGGUGUUCGGGUUGUCAUGCCAAUGGCAUUGCCCGGUAGCUAAGUGCGGAAGAGAUAACCGCUGAAAGCAUCUAAGCGGGAAACUUGCCUCGAGAUGAGUCUUCCCUGUCGCUUUAAGCGACCUAAAGGAACGUUUAAGACUAAGACGUUGAUAGGCUGGGUGUGUAAGCGUAGCGAUACGUUGAGCUAACCAGUACUAAUGAACCGUGAGGCUUAACCUG
rnacentral:rRNA from 1 species